rnacentral:snoRNA from 1 species
UGAGAGUGAUGAGAUUCCACUUCGUUGGUCCGUGUUUCUGAAACCCGUGACUUGGUGGAAGUUCUGACUUG